rnacentral:lncRNA from 1 species
GUUUAAGGGUCCUGAGGACACAGGUUCUUGAAUCACUUGGUGUCACAGGUCAUCAUCCUUAGGAAAAUAAGUGUGAUCAAUGUGAGCCCUCCGGAAGAAAGACUUCACCUGCACAAGGACACAGCUGGUGCUAACAGCCCCCAGAGCACUAUUGGAUGAGCCCUGGCCAGCUGUGGUUAAUUACUCCCACGUGGUGCUCGCUGUGGCUAUUAGGGAUGUUACACAGUGGUGUCUUAUUUGUCUUUCAGUUCCUCCUUGCAGAGGCAGAGAGAGGGUAGAUCUGUAGGAAGGUAAAAUAAAGGGAGAUUUCUGCUCUCACCUCUUCUUUCAGUAAGCAGAAAAAAACUUUAGCAGAGCAGCUAUUCUCUGCUCCUCCUUGAAGAAGAGAAGCUUUCUUAUUAAGCUUGUCCACACAACAGUAAAGCCUGAAUUUGACAUCUUCUUCUUAGGCUGCCAACAUCAAAGAGCAAAAGAGCACAGGUUUUGACUAUACAGGGCUGAAAACAAAGACAUCCAAACCUUGAGCUAAACAGAAGAGGAAGAAGCCAAAAUCUUUGCCAGAGGUUUGACUGCUGGGUUUACUCAUGGCUUCAGCUGUCACCUUCAGAAAUAUGAGACCUCUCAGAUCAGGCCAUUAAUCCUGCUUCUCCCAGUGGAGUGUGACUCGUCUGGUGGGACAGGUUUGAUUGCAACUGGUUCUUCAGGCUGUCAUGACUGUGAAAGCAGACUUCAGCUGCACAUGCAGAUACCUCGGAUCCUGCUACUGCCUAAACCUAUUGAUCUGUUAUUGAGCUCGGCACCAACCGCUGGUUUAGCUCUAAAGAAGUUCAGCCUCUGCAGGCAGCUGGGAAGCAAGGCGGACUCAGAAAAGAAGUGGAUGCUCCAUCUCAUCAUAGAAUAACAGAAUAUUCCAAGUUGAAAGGGACCCAUAAGUAUCUAUCAUCAAGUCCAACUCCAGGCAUCACACAGCACCGCCCAAAAAUAAUGACCUAGCCUAUUCAAAGGAGAGAAUUCCUGCAGGAGAAAAACAAGCCAAAACAAACAAAAAAUCCCAACAAACUCACACCUGGAAAAUGCUGCUCCAUAUAGCCCCAACUGUCUUGUCCUGCUUCUAAGAGGUGUCAUGUGGCUGUUACAGAGACGUGCCCGAAAAUGGUGUUAUUAAGAGGACCAGGUGUUUGUUCAGGAGGCUGUGGGAUGCAGCCAUUCCUUGGGCACUACAGAUAUAUUUACAGCAUUAAAAGGUCAAACAAUCCCUUCAUUCCCUGUUUGCUUCAGAGAGUUUUGUUGAACAUUCUCAUUAUUCGUUGCGGUAUUUCUUUGGUUUAAGAGGAUUUCUCUGCACAACCAUAGUUAUUAGAAUGCAGUGUGUGUGCAGUGAAUGUGUUAUUACUAUAACAAGCUUCUCCUCAUAGUAGAUAUUUAUUCUGAGUGUGAGGCUUUUAGUUCAGUUGUGUGUGUGGCAGAGCAGGCGAGAUGGGGCAGGUAAUGUGGAAAAAAAGAUGGAGUAGAAUGGGGAAAGACACAAAAUUAGUAGUUUGGAGACAUGACUUCUGCCCCUAUCUUUGUGAUGGGCUCUGUGCCGACUCUUGCCUUCCCUUUCACAAAAAGGUCAGGAAAAUGAGAAGCACUGUACAACAGGCUGGGGACUCUUAG